GGGCGGCGGGACGGGCGCGAAAACUUUGCAAUGCGAGAAAUCGUGACAAGGGAACUCCGAGUGCCCGUAAAUUCGGGCUGUCCAUCGGUUUAAAUAACCGGUGAAGAAAGGGCCGGGCAAGACCGGUGCCAGCCGCCGCGGUAAUACCGGCGGCUCGAGUGGUGGCCACUAUUACUGGGCUUAAAGCGUCCGUAGCUGGUCUGUUAGGUCUCUGGGGAAAUCUACCGGCUUAACCGGUAGGCGUUUCAGGGAUACUGGCAGACUAGGGACCGGGAGAGGUGAGAGGUACUCCAGGGGUAGGAGUGAAAUCCUGUAAUCCUUGGGGGACCACCUGUGGCGAAGGCGUCUCACCAGAACGGCUCCGACAGUGAGGGACGAAAGCUGGGGGAGCAAACCGGAUUAGGUACCCGGGUAGUCCCAGCCGUAAACGGUGCGCGUUAGGUGUAUCGGUGACCACGAGUCACCGAGGUGCCGAAGAGAAAUCGUGAAACGUGCCGCCUGGGAAGUACGGUCGCAAGGCUGAAACUUAAAGGAAUUGGCGGGGGAGCAC
rnacentral:rRNA from 1 species